rnacentral:tRNA from 1 species
CCCGCUAGCCUGCUGCGCGAGGGAGUGGACGACCCCAACAGCAUGCGCGGUCGCUUUGAGA